rnacentral:lncRNA from 1 species
UCAGCGCACCGGUGGCAGAUGAGCUCCUCAGUCAACUUUACAAAGCUUGGACGCACCCGACGCGAAGGCCCCUUUGGGUCAUCGCCUCGGACGCUGCGUUCCCUCCCAUGCUUUACAAAGUUUUGGCCAUCUCCCAGCGCGUCGGCCCUGUGGGUCAGCUUACCGGUGGCAGAUGAGCUCCUCACUCAACUUUACAAAGCUUGGACGCACUCAACGCGAAGGCCCCUUUGGGUCAUCGCCUCGGACGCUGCAUUCCCUCCCAUGCUUUACAGAGUUUUAGCCAUCUCGCAACGCAUCGGCCUGAGUUAGUGCACCAUAUUCACGAAGCUUCGACGCACCUGACACGAAGUCCCAUGUUGGUUGACCACCUUGGACGCUACUCAGUCACGAAAUUUGGCACGUCUGCCUAGGAUCAUAACCUCGAUUGCUGUAAAAAUCAACCCCCAAAACUCCCACGAGUCGUAGUCCGGUCAGGAAAACAAGUCCACCCAUGAUAUAAAUAAUCAUACCUGGACUUGGGGGAACACUGUUACGCUCCAAUCUUAUACGCGCCUUGGAACGAGCACCACCAUAUAUUCCGACCUGAUAUAGACCCGUUCGAAGUGUUUCCGAAGUGAUAUCGGAACGAGCACCACCAUGUAUUCCGACCUGAUAUAGACCCCGUCCGAAGUGUUUCCGAAGUGACAUCGGCAUUACAUGCAACCUCAUAGCGCGCUGCGAAGUACAAGCUACUCCUACUACUGACCUAGCCGAAGUACCUCGCCCUACCCGAGGAUAAGGUCAGGUGGACCCCGGUUAAAAGAUCCGCUGCCAAUUUCAGAAAGAGAUUUGUGCCAAGAUCCUUCUUGCACCUAAGGUUUAAAUUGAUUUGACGUCUCCAGGAGGCUAGUUGAUGUGACUUACCAACUUUAUGUCAAUUCAACUCAGAAGAAACAAGCUGUUCGCCCACUCUACAGACGCGACUGAUUGACGCCUA